CAAAUCACAUCCCUGUUAUGUGAUAAUGUGGCCAUUGUGUCACCUCUUUGCUUAUGGAAAAAGUCUAAUACUGGUAUGACACGAGUUGUUGAAUAGAGUAACCAUUCCACUCUUACCUCGUUUCAGGUGGGAUGCUUGUUUUAUUAUUUUGAUUUUUUUAAAGAAAUAAUCAUUCUCAACUCAUUCUAUAUGAUAAGAGAUUGUAUUAAUAUUUUUUGAAAUUAUUUUUAUGGCAUUUUAUUUUAGCA
rnacentral:lncRNA from 1 species